rnacentral:rRNA from 1 species
AGUGAACGCUGGCGGCGUGCUUAACACAUGCAAGUCGAACGGAUGAAAUAAGCUUGCUUAUUUCGUUAGUGGCGCACGGGUGAGUAAUGUAUAGCUAACCUGCCCUUUAGUGGGGGACAACAGUUGGAAACGGCUGCUAAUACCCCAUACUCCUUCUUAUCAUAAGGUAAGUUGGGAAAGAUUUAUUGCUAAAGGAUGGGGCUUUAUGGUAUCAGUUAGUUGGUGGGGUAAUGGCCUACCAAGACUAUGACGCCUACCUGGUCUGAGAGGAUGAUCAGGCACACUGGAACUGAGACACGGUCCAGACUCCUACGGGAGGCAGCAGUGGGGAAUAUUGCACAAUGGAGGAAACUCUGAUGCAGCAACGCCGCGUGGAGGAUGACGCAUUUCGGUGUGUAAACUCCUUUUAUAAGGGAAGAUAAUGACGGUACCUUAAUGAAUAAGCACCGGCUAACUCCGUGCCAGCAGCCGCGGUAAUCUCGUCUCUACUGAC